AAUAGAUACCCGGGUAGUCCACGCCGUAAACGAUGCUUACUCGUUUUUGGGGCAUUACGCUUCAGAGACCAAGCGAAAGUGAUAAGUAAGCCACCUGGGGAGUACGUUCGCAAGAAUGAAACUCAAAGGAAUUGACGGGGGCCCGCACAAGCGGUGGAUUAUGUGGUUUAAUUCGAUGAUACGCGAGGAACCUUACCAAGACUUAAAUGGGAAUUGACAGACGCAGAAAUGUGUUUUUCUUCGGACAAUUUUCAAGGUGCUGCAUGGUUGUCGUCAGCUCGUGCCGUGAGGUGUUAGGUUAAGUCCUGCAACGAGCGCAACCCCUGUCACUAGUUGCUACCAUUAAGUUGAGGACUCUAGUGAGACUGCCUACGCAAGUAGAGAGGAAGGUGGGGAUGACGUCAAAUCAUCACGGCCCUUACGUCUUGGGCCACACACGUAAUACAAUGGCCGGUACAGAGGGCAGCUACACUGCGAAGUGAUGCGAAUCUCGAAAGCCGGUCUCAGUUCGGAUUGGAGUCUGCAACUCGACUCU
rnacentral:rRNA from 1 species